GAGACCCAGUGAGCAAAUAGGGGAUGCAAAGGCUCUGCUGGACAUUACAACCACCUUGGUAAAAUAUGUGAGGUCCCAGUCAAGUUAAGGAAUCGCACCUUCUGACUUUAUAACAGCAUUGCUUAAGAAAUUUGGCAGCAAGCAAACAUUGGUUCUGAGCCUGUCUCAUUGCGCUAGGUUGAUGUUUGUCUUUCUGCUUCACAUGUCUUGAGGGCUGCGCCUGGAUGCUGUAUCAUGCUUGGACCCAUGGAUACAGAAGUAAAGCAGCGGAAGCUUUCGGCUGUUAAUAGAAAAAGAAGUGCCAAGCCAACUGAAAAUACUUGUCCUAAAGAGCUUGACCAACUAUUGUUGCAAAUUGUGCUGACAAGUGAUUAUCUUCUUCCUCCCAAAAGGAUGCUAAAAGCAGUGAAGAACUGCAUGGCAGCUCGGCAACAUAUGGUGCUACGCUUUGUCAUGCCUGGUCGGCAGGUGCUACGCACGACAGAUCUUCCAAGGACUUCAAGCUGUGUCGGCUGGUGAUACCUGGCAGCAUGGCGCUGCGGUGUAUCAGUGGCGACCGUGACGUGCUCAGAUGUUUGCGCGCAGGGAGGAGGUGUCGUUUGGCGCCGUGGUGGCAUCGACGAUAGCUAGACCGAGCAAGGUUGAUGCAUCAGUACAGUUCUGAAGAUGGAACGGUGGCAGUUGGCGGCGGCGGCAUCUGAGUGCACGCCGGACCGGUGAGACCCAUGCCCGACAGGCGUC